rnacentral:rRNA from 1 species
GACGAACGCUGGCGGCGUGCUUAACACAUGCAAGUCGAACGGAAAGGCCCUGCUUUUGUGGGGUGCUCGAGUGGCGAACGGGUGAGUAACACGUGAGUAACCUGCCCUUGACUUUGGGAUAACUUCAGGAAACUGGGGCUAAUACCGGAUAGGAGCUCCUGCUGCAUGGUGGGGGUUGGAAAGUUUCGGCGGUUGGGGAUGGACUCGCGGCUUAUCAGCUUGUUGGUGGGGUAGUGGCUUACCAAGGCUUUGACGGGUAGCCGGCCUGAGAGGGUGACCGGCCACAUUGGGACUGAGAUACGGCCCAGACUCGUACGGGAGGCAGCAGUGGGGAAUAUUGCACAAUGGGCGGAAGCAUGAUGCAGCAACGCCGCGUGCGGGAUGACGGCCUUCGGGUUGUAAACCGCUUUCGCCUGUGACGAAGCGUGAGUGACGGUAAUGGGUAAAGAAGCACCGGCUAACUACGUG